rnacentral:rRNA from 1 species
CACCGGCGCCACGAGUGGCAACCGCUUUUAUUGGGCCUAAAGCGUCCGUAGCUGGUUUAAUAAAUCUUUUGUGAAAUUGUCGGGCUUAACUUGACAGCGUGCAGAAGAGACUGUUUGACUAGGGACCGGGAGGAGUUAGAGGUAUUUUGGGGGGAGCGGUAAAAUGUUAUAAUCCCCAGAGGACCACCUGUGGCGAAGGCGUCUAACUAGAACGGAUCCGACAGUGAGGGACGAAGGCCAGGGGAGCAAAACGG